rnacentral:rRNA from 1 species
AUUGAACGCUGGCGGCAGGCCUAACACAUGCAAGUCGAGCGGAUGAGUGGAGCUUGCUCCAUGAUUCAGCGGCGGACGGGUAAGUAAUGCCUAGGAAUCUGCCUGGUAGUGGGGGACAACGUUUCGAAAGGAACGCUAAUACCGCAUACGUCCUACGGGAGAAAGUGGGGGAUCUUCGGACCUCACGCUAUCAGAUGAGCCUAGGUCGGAUUAGCUAGUUGGUGAGGUAAAGGCUCACCAAGGCGACGAUCCGUAACUGGUCUGAGAGGAUGAUCAGUCACACUGGAACUGAGACACGGUCCAGAGUCCUACGGGAGGCAGCAGUGGGGAAUAUUGGACAAUGGGCGAAAGCCUGAUCCAGCCAUGCCGCGUGUGUGAAGAAGGUCUUCGGAUUGUAAAGCACUUUAAGUUGGGAGGAAGGGCAGUAAGUUAAUACCUUGCUGUUUUGACGUUACCAACAGAAUAAGCACCGGCUAACUUCGUGCCAGCAGCCGCGGUAACAC